GUAUGCGAUCAGAAGAAGGAGCCAGGAGAGCUCAAACCCUAGUUCACCAAAUCCUCCAAAUCGAAGCUCAAAUCAAGCCCGAAUCGUCUGCUUGAUUACAAAUUCGUGAUCGCCUAGUCGUGGGGAUCAUAAGUUGACUCUAAACAAGCUAGGUGGGAGCUUGAAAAGGAACGGGUCAAACGGAUCAUGGAUGCGAAGAAUGUUUGCGCGGACGCGAGGGUAAAACGGCUUAUGGAAUUUACGUGGCUAUGAAUCAGCAAAUUAUUAAGGCAAGGUAUUAAAACGGGUCAAUACUUUGACCCGCGCCAGGUACAUUUUGGAUGCCGGAAGACGAUCAAGCUCGACGAAGGACCGAACACAAUAUAGAUACAUGCUUCCGCACUUUAACACUUUGCAAAUUUUAAACAACGAAUUCAACCACGUUAUGUAGAAUAACUUAUGAAUUGUAAAAGUUUUAAUAAAUUCGUAUUUUUAUAGUAUGUGUAGGCUUAACUACACAUCUAAUUGUUGGUGUUUACAUAUAAAAUUGUUAAUUAGUAACUAGGGUGUUACAAGUUGGUAUCAGAGCCCUGGUUUAAGAGAUUCAAGUAUGGUGGGGAAAACCAUGCUUGGAAUUAAACCUUAUGCUCUUGACAAAGAUUGGUGUUCGGUUCGAGGCUUGAUCGCAAAUCUGGUAAGUACAUCUAUGCUAAUAGUUUAGCAUGCUAAAGUGUUGUAAACAACACAUGGGGUUAUCGUGUGAUACACGUUACCUCAAUUAAGCGAUAAAUGUAGUUGACAAAGUUACGCGUGUUGACACAUAUAGUACAAAAGUCUUGUAUUAUGAUACGGGCAUUUAGUAAAGUUGACAUUACUAACUUUUGUGAAUGUCUUGAUUUAAGGACACUUGCGUUUAAAGAUGACAAAGGUUAAACAAAUUAAAGAUGUGAUAGAGGAACAGUCCGAGGCAUGACGAGAGGAACAUGCUCACUAAGGACUAAAUCGCGUAAAGACCGCGAACAAGGUUAAUGGCAAGAAACGCCCGUCGGGGCAAGCAUUAUCAGGUACGUGCUUUUAAAUAUAAUCGCGCAAUUAGCAAUGUGCAACAAACAUGUAAAGAAUGAUUGUCGCAUAUGUAAAUUAGAAACUUGAGAAACCUGAAUAGAAUACCUAUCCAGGAUAUUAUCUCCAAGAAAACUAAAUAGAGGUGUUACUUACAUGGGGUGUGAUGU